GCCUGCUUCCGCGUCACCUUAUGCCAUAUGGUAAUUUUCCUGAGGCUGCCCCAGCAAAGUGGAACUGAAGUCAGAGACCCCAAAUGGAGAGACCGGCUGGAGCUGUGGCAGAAGAACAUAAAUUGUGAAGAUUUCACAUUAAUAUGGACAUUUAUCAGUUCCCAAAUAAUACUUUUAUAAUUUCUUAUGCCUGUCUUUACUUAAUCUCUUAAUCCUGUUAUCUUCAUAAGCAGAGGAUGUAUGUCACCUCAGGACCACUGUGAUAAUUGUGUUAACUGUACAAAUUGAUUGUAAAACGUGUGUUUGAACAAUAUUAAAUCAGUGCACCUUGGAAAAGAACAGAAUAACAGAAAUUUUUAUGGAAUAAGGGAAGACAACCAAAAGGUCUGACUGCCUGUGGGGUUGGGCAAUAAGAGCCAUAUUUUUCUUCUUGCAGAGAGCCUAUAAAUGGAUGUGCAAGUAGGAAAGAUAUUGCUAAAUUCUUUUCCUAGCAAGGAAUAUGAAUAUUAGUACCCUGGGAAAGGAAUGUGUUCCUUGGGGGAGGUCUAUAAAUGGCUGCUCUGGGAAUGGUUUGUCUUGUGCAGUUGAGAUAAGGACUGAGAUACGCCCUCGUCUCCUGCAGAACCCUCAGGCUUACUAGGGUUGGGAAACUCCACCCUGGUAAAUAUGUGGUCAGACCGGUUCCCUGCUCUCAAACCCUAUGUUCUGUUGUUUGAGAUGUUUAUCAAGACAAUACGUGCACCACUGAACAUGGACCCUUAUCAGUGGUUCUGCUUUUGCCCUUUGUCCUGUUCCCUCAGAAGCAUGUGAUCUUUGUUAGACCCUUAUUAGUAGUUCUGCUUUUUGCCCUUUGAAGCAUGUGAUCUUUGUACCUACUCCCUGUUCUUACACCCCCACCCCUUUUGAAACCCUUAAUAAAAACUUGCUGGUCUGAGACUCAGGCGGGCAUCACGGUCCUAUCGAUAUGUGAUAUCACCCCCGGCGGCCCAGCUGUAAAAUUCCUCUCUUUGUACUGUCUCUCUUUAUUUCUCAGCCAGCUGACACUUACGGAAAAUAGAAA
rnacentral:lncRNA from 10 species